AGCUCCAAUAGCGUAUAUUAAAGUUGCUGCAGUUAAAAAGCUCGUAGUUGCAUUUCCGAGGCAAGGGAUUAGUCCGACCUUUGGUGGGUAUUUAAUCCUCUUGCCUCGUCCUUGAGUGGUGCUUCUUGGUAUUAAGUUAUCGAGGAGAUAGCCGCUCAUCGUUUACUGUGAGAAAAUUAGAGUGUUCAAAGCAGGCUUAUGCCGUUGAAUAUAUUAGCAUGGAAUAAUAAGAUAGGACCUCGGUACUAUUUUGUUGGUUUGAGAACCAAGGUAAUGAUGAAUAGGGACAGUUGGGGGUAUUCGUAUUCAGUUGUCAGAGGUGAAAUUCUUAGAUUUACGGAAGACGAACUACUGCGAAAGCAUUUGUCAAGGAUGUUUUCA
rnacentral:rRNA from 1 species